rnacentral:rRNA from 1 species
UACGUAGGGUCCGAGCGUUGUCCGGAAUUAUUGGGCGUAAAGGGCUCGUAGGCGGUUUGUCACGUCGGGCGUGAAAACUCAGGGCUCAACCCUGAGCGUGCGUCCGAUACGGGCAGACUAGAGGUAUGCAGGGGAGAACGGAAUUCCUGGUGUAGCGGUGGAAUGCGCAGAUAUCAGGAGGAACACCGGUGGCGAAGGCGGUUCUCUGGGCAUUACCUGACGCUGAGGCGCGAAAGCUAGGGGAGCAAACGGG